ACAUGCAUACAUCAUAGCGUUAAUGCAUCGGAUCCCAUUAUAACUCCACAAUUAAGCAUGCUCGGGCUAGAGUAGUACCGGGAUGGGUGACCACUUGGGAAGUCCUAGUGUUUUACAUGUC
rnacentral:rRNA from 1 species